AUGUACUGGACUUGGUUCCAUUAUAUGAUGUAUGUUUGCUUUAGUUCUCCAUAAAAAACUGAAGAAUUUUUGUGGAAAUAUAGUAUGAAUGUUUUACCUUCCAGUUGCAUCUUUUCCUUUCAAAUCAGCAAUUUCUAAAAUGGGGAGAACAAUAUGAUUAGAGACCUUUCGUUGCUCAAGGAUGAUCACAAGCUCAUCCAGACACCAUGUUGAAGACGCGUAGUUCUUAGACAAGACGAUUAUUGAAGCACGAGAGCUUUUUAUAGCUCUUGCAAGCUCGGGUUUAAGUUCUUCCCCAGUUUCAACCUCUUCCUCAUCAAGAAAGGUAGAGAUGUUUUCAUUCACCAAAGCUUGGUAGAGGUGAUCCAUAAAACCCAGACGAGUGUCUUUCCCUCUGAAACUCAGGAAAACAUCAUAUGUCAUUGCCGCUUCUUGUUCUUCUGGUAAUUCAGUGAGGAUGGCCAUGGAAGUUGAGAAGAAUUACAAGAGUGUAUAUAAGCUGUGAUUAUAAGUUUUGUUGCUUCUGAUUUUGGUUGUCUUAGAUCUAAAUUCAAGAUGAAUGUCUCUUGUUUGGUACUAUAGUCAAUGUUUGGCAGCAAA